rnacentral:lncRNA from 1 species
GCUACCCUUGAAUCCCAUUUCCUCUCCAAUUCUCUCUGCAACCUCACUCAAACCCUAGCUGCCGCCACCCAAACUAACCCUAAUCCUCUUCGAUCCUUACCCAAUCCAUGGAUUCCCAUGGCUGUUUGAGAUGUGUACUUGUCUUCUACGUCUCCUGGUGGCCUGCUUUUGUGAUCUCGUGGAAAGAUCUCAAACAGAUCUAGUCUAGUCCUUGCUCAACUUCUAUGCAUGGUCUUUUUCCUGCCAUCCAUGGCCGUUCGAGUCAAAUCCAUGGCUUUUCCGUCUAAAAUCGGUAAUGAUCUAUUGUUUUCUCAUCCUCUUUGGGUUCUCUGAAACCCUAGCUCUUGAGAUAUUUUACUUCUGCUUAGAUCUUCUUUCGAUCUAGAUGUAUCAAUGGGUUUUAACUGACUUUUUUCUUCGUCUCUGCUAUUUUCUGAAAAAACCUAGUUAUAAAUCUUCCAAUCUUUUUAGAUCUGUGAUGGAUCUAUGGGUUUCUUAAGGUUUUCACUUGUUUCCCUCAAAUGUUUCUCCAAUUUCAGGCAGUUUCUUUAUUUUUCGAACUAAGGUUUCAAAACACUUUUUGCAAAAAUGAUUUCUUUAUGAUUACUGUGAUUUUAGCAUGUUUAAACAUUACGUAAGUCUUUCCUUUUGGCUCGAUUUAUUUUUUUCAAGAAACCCUAGUAUUUCUGUGUUCGAUUUGAAGUUUGAGUUCUUUUGCGAUGUGUUUACAUGACUAUCAUGAAUGUUCUAGGCUUCAUAUGCGUUCUAUAUGAUAUUGUGCUUCUUAUUUUGAUUUUUUCUUAAGGUUUCUAUGAUGUUGUCCAAACCCGUGUUAUUUAUAGGUUCGACUAUUUGUUUCGUUUGCAUAAUUUAUGUUGAUUCUGGGUAAUCUCCUUAAACCUACAUCUUUGAUUUGUGUAUUUUCCUUAUUCUCUGUACUGAUUUUUCGAAAUUGCUUCCUUACUGUUGUGAUACUUUUUUUAGUUAGUAUUGAUUCCCUAUGAUUUUCAAUCUCAUCCGUGGUUCUUUGAACUAAUUUUCAGAAUCAAUGGUAUUCUACCUUGUUUAUGUGUUGUUAACUAACAUACACUUUCCGUAUGAUUAAACUAUUAUGUAUCUGGCCCUUAUUACAUGGUAUAUACUUUUACUAUUCAUAUUAUUGUAAAAUCAGUCUUACAAGCAAUUUUUUUCCUUAUUUGAUACAACUUGUACCCAUUUGAACUAUGACUCCCUAAUUGAAGGGAGUUCGGUUCUUUAAUAGAUUCUGAUUUUUAUUAUUUCUAUUGUUAUGCUAAGUCAGUACUUUUUACCUUAUUUUCCUACCUGUUCUCAAAAACUAUAAAUACUAUACACUAUCUUCUUUAAAGACACAAACAAUUAGUUCAGAAAAUAGACAUAUACACUCAAACUCUCUCUUCUUUCUUUACUAUUUGCGCUAAUGCUUGGUCUAGUCGGUUGAAAGCCAAGACUAGACUAUUGAACUCUGAUUGCUUUACUUUUUCUGCACUUUGCUUCUUCAACUGGUAUGUCCCUAGUUCAAAUUCUGAAACUCAACUCUAUGUGUUCCCUUGUUUUUCAAUACCUGUCUCUUUCUGCACUAAUUUAAUGGCUCUGUUAAACUGUAUUUCUUGUUUACUGCUUUACUCAGCAUGCCUAAAAUUCUACCCUCCCUUGUUCAAAUGUAAUCAACAUGUUUACUUGUUCCUAUUUAUGUCCCUCAACUACUAUGUCUCUUAAUAUACUGAUUAAUACUAGUUCAUGUCUGAUUAUGUAUAAUUGGCCCCCGACAUGACUACUCCCAUACCCUGUCCCUAUGUUUUAUUGCUGUUAUAAUUUUAAGCAUGAUUCCCCUGAAGUAGUUGUUUUGUUUUGAAGACCAAUUAGCCCCUACUCACCCCUUGUAUUUGCUGGUCUAUGUGCAUCUUUUUCUUAGCCAUGAUUAUGUGUUUCUGAUUUGGGUCCUCUAUAUCCCCAACCUCUACUUCCCUGUUUGUAACUGCUGAAGCUGUAAUGGUCUCUGAACUUGUUCUGUGUGUGUUGUUGUUGCUCUUAUCCCCUUUCCCUUUCAAAACUGUUUUCACUAAGCAACUCUUUUGCUUUUCUACAAACUUGUUUUCAAACAUGCUAUUUUCAAAACUGUUUUGCAACCCAAAUCCUUUAAAUCUGUGUCAAGCACUCUCACAUAUACUCUUAGAAUACUAGGUUUUGCCCCUUUUGUGUGAGCUUGCCUUAGGACCCUUGAGCUCCCUCUCAAAUUGGACACAUAAGAGCUGGACCUUCCACAUGCACUCACUUUAUUUAGUUCUACAAUCUGGGUGUGAGUGCUACACGAGAUCGCUCGGGGUCCUUAGGGAACCGUGACACACCCAGAUAUGAGAAAGGUUAUGGAACAAUAAUAGCAUUUGAGAGGGUUUAUUACAUAUCUCAGAGAGGAAGUCCUAAUCAGGAUUCCUAUUGUUGUAACUUCUUAUUUUACGUUUCUUAUGUAAUUCAAUCACAUGGUCUGUAAUAACUUGUAAACGAGUAUGGGGCUGGCUAGUGAAAAGAGAUGGGAAAAUAUGCAUGUUAUAGUUGUUAAAGGGUAGAAAACAUGUUGUUAAGUUUAUGAUCUUAAUUGUGCAAUAAAAAUCAUGCUUAGGGUUCAUACAUGCAUUAGAAAUUAUGUUCUUAGAACCCAUGUCUUUUGCUUUAGAACUUCAUUCAUUAAUCUUUUAUCACUUAUUAAUCCUGCUCCUUAGACAGUAACAAUAUUGGCAUAUAAGCUAUUACUCUUGUACUUUCAGGAGUUGUAUUCUGCAACUCUUGUGCACAUUUGGAAAUCAU